AAAAAUACAAAACCUGGGUUUCCGUGUCCAAUUUUAAUUGUCCGUCUUAUAUAAAAAUUUUUUAUAAUUCGUAUUUUUAUUGUUGUUAGAUGAUAAAUAUUAAUAUUUUAUGCGUGACUUGUCUUUUUAAUUUUUUUUAUAAUUUUUUUAAAUAAAACGGACGGUCAAAUGUUGGACACGGAAACAGGGUUUGUCUUAUU
rnacentral:pre_miRNA from 1 species